GCCGCCGCAGCGAAGAGGCCAUGUUGUGUGGUGUGUGGGGCGGGGGGAGGAGGAGGAGGGAGUAAAGCCUAGAGAGGAGACGGGAGAGACACCACACACACGGCACAAGAUGGCCGGAGAGGCAGCAGCACCCCGAGCUGUCAGGCGUUCCGCCGCGGCCGCGAGGCCCGCCGGCCGGCUAGGAGCUACGCCCGGACGGCCAGCAGGCUCGCGGGAGUGGGGCGGCCGCGGCUGAGGCGAGGCGGGCCGCGCGCGUCGGCGUCAGAGCCCGCGGCAGAGGCGCCCAGGGCGGCCGGGCCCACGACGCCGAAAGCGCCGCUGCGGUUGCCGCCUCGGAGGCUCCCCCGGGCCCCGGCGGCUGGACCCGGCGCGGGCGGGAGCCUCGGGCGGGCGGUCUGGCCCGGGACUCGGGUUUGGGCGACCAGGAGGCGCCGGUGGCCGCGCUCGGACCCGGUUCUCCAACGGAGGAGCUUUUUAACCUCUUUCCGGUGAGGUGGGAACUCAUCUUCAUGAUCGAAUUUAAAAGAACAAUGGAACCCUGACUACGUUUCAACAAAAAUAAAACUUGUUUUUUUCCCUCCUAUUGGGUGUUGGCUUUUAACUCUUUCAAAGCCGAUUCUGAAACGGCUGCAGUGAUAACAUGCGAAGGUACUUGCUGCUUAUUAAACCUUUAUGACGUUAAGGUUGUCUUUGAAAAAUGCAAGUUGGAGGAGUGCUUCUGGUAUUUCAGA
rnacentral:lncRNA from 1 species